rnacentral:rRNA from 1 species
AGAGUUUGAUCAUGGCUCAGAGUGAACGCUGGCGGCGUGCCUAACACAUGCAAGUCGAGCGGUUCCUGGACAGCGUAUCGUUCAGGAAUAGCGGCAGACGGGUGAGUAAUACUUAGGUAAUCUACCCUCGAGUGGGAAAUAACCCGGCGAAAGUCGGGCUAAUGUCCCAUAAGACCACGGGAUCGCAUGAUUCUGAGGUCAAAGCUCCGCAAGGGGCGCUGGAGGAGGAUCCUGAGGCCUAUCAGGUAGUUGGUGGGGUAACGGCCCACCAAGCCAACGACGGGUAGCCGGCCUGAAAGGGUGACCGGCCACACUGGCACUGAGACACGGGCCAGACUCCUACGGGAGGCAGCAGUGGGGAAUUUUGGACAAUGGGGGCAACCCUGAUCCAGCGACGCCGCGUGGAGGACGAAGGUCUUCGGAUUGUAAACUCCUUUUGAAAGGGAAGAAUGUCCCGGUGAAGAGCCGGGAGUGACGGUACCUUUCGAAUAAGCCACGGCUAACUUCGUGCCAGCAGCCGCGGUAAUACGAAGGUGGCAAGCGUUACUCGGAAUUACUAGGCGUAAAGCGCAGGUAGGCGGUUCGGUAAGUCUUUUGUGAAAGCUCCCGGCUUAACUGGGAGAGGCCAAGGGAUACUAUUGGGCUCGAGUGUGGUAGAGGAUGCUGGAAUUCCCGGUGUAGCGGUGAAAUGCGUAGAGAUCGGGAGGAAUACCAAUGGCGAAAGCAGGCAUCUGGGCCAUUACUGACGCUGAGCUGCGAAAGCUAGGGGAGCAAACAGGAUUAGAUACCCUAGUAGUCC